GGCUUUAUAGUCAAUUAUGACGUUAGACUGCAAUUCUAAAGGAGUAUUUUAUACUAAGGCUU
rnacentral:tRNA from 1 species